GACGAACGCUGGCGGCGUGCCUAAUACAUGCAAGUUGAGCGAUGAAGCUUGGUGCUUGCCCCAAUUUGAAGAGCAGCGAACGGGUGAGUAACGCGUGGGGAAUCUGCCUUUGAGCGGGGGACAACAUUUGGAAACGAAUGCUAAUACCGCAUAAUAACUUUAAACAUAAGUUUUAAGUUUGAAAGAUGCAAUUGCAUCACUCAAAGAUGAUCCCGCGUUGUAUUAGCUAGUUGGUGAGGUAAAGGCUCACCAAGGCGAUGAUACAUAGCCGACCUGAGAGGGGGAUCGGCCACAUUGGGACUGAGACACGGCCCAAACGCCUACGGGAGGCAGCAGUAGGGAAUCUUCGGCAAGAGACGAAAGUCUGACCGAGCAACGCCGGGGGAGUGAAGAAGGGUGUCGGAUCGUAAAACUCGGUUGGUAGAGAAGAACGUUGGUGAGAGUGGAAAGCUCAUCAAGUGACGGUAACUACACAGAAAGGGACGGCUAACUACGUG
rnacentral:rRNA from 1 species